rnacentral:rRNA from 1 species
UACGUAGGGUGCGAGCGUUGUCCGGAAUUAUUGGGCGUAAAGGGCUCGUAGGCGGUUUGUCGCGUCGGGAGUGAAAUCCACUGGCUUAACUGGUGGCUUGCUUUCGAUACGGGCAGACUGGAGGUAUGCAGAGGAGCAUGGAAUUCCUGGUGUAGCGGUGAAAUGCGUAGAGAUCAGGAGGAAUACCGAUGGCGAAGGCAGUGCUCUGGGCUAACAUUGACGCUGAUGAGCGAAAGCUAGGGGAGCAAACGGG